AUUUAUUUGACGAGUCUAGAAUAGGACGAAACGCGUGUCGUGGAU
rfam:Schistosoma margrebowiei strain Zambia genome assembly, scaffold: SMRZ_contig0000639